GGGGCCAUUCGCCAAUCUCGGUUUGCAUUUACAUGUCAUGUCGGGGGCAAAUCACAUAUCAAUCAAUAUCUCCGUACCUCUUUCAAUACAAUCACACAUCCACAUUUUUCCUCUAAACCCCCUUUUUACUAUUUCAGAUACGGAGCUUGUAGUGCCCCAAACUCGACCGGGACGGUCCAACUCGAAUCCAAAACGUCACAUUAGUCACCGAAGUGACCCAG
rnacentral:lncRNA from 1 species